rnacentral:rRNA from 1 species
UACGAAGGGGGCUAGCGUUGCUCGGAAUCACUGGGCGUAAAGCGCACGUAGGCGGACUCUUAAGUCGGUGGUGAAAUCCCGGAGCUCAACUCCGGAACUGCCCUUGAAACUGCAAUGCUAGAAUCUUGGAGAGGCGAGUGGAAUUCCGAGUGUAGAGGUGAAAUUCGUAGAUAUUCGGAAGAACACCAGUGGCGAAGGCGACUCGCUGGACAAGUAUUGACGCUGAGGUGCGAAAGCGUGGGGAGCAAACAGG